rnacentral:lncRNA from 1 species
AAAAUAUUUGACGAAAUUUUAGAAGUUACUUAUGAAGAAGUUGUUUGAUUUCUCUUCAUUAUUUAGCUUUAGAUACUGAAUAUCUUACCUGAUAUGGUCUGGCCAUGUCCCUACCCAAAUCUCAUCUUGAAUUGCAGUUCCCAUAAUCCCCACGUGUCCUGAGAGGGACCACAUGGGAGGUAAUUUAAUCAUGGGGAUGGUCACCCCCAUGCUGUUUCCAUGAUAGUGAGUGAGUUUUCACAAGAUCUGAUGUUUUAUGAGGGGCUUUUCCCUCUUUGACUGGGCAUUUCUCCUUCCUGCCAUCGUGUGAGAAAGGACAUGUUACUUUCCCUUUCCACCAUGAUUGUAAGUUUCCUGUGGCCUCCCCAGCAAUACUGAACUGUGAGUCAAUUAAACCUCUUUCCUUUAUAAAUUACCUAGUCUUGGGUAUGUGUUUACUAGCGUCAUGAGAAGGAACUAGUACAUUAUCCAAACUAGUUUCAUCUUUUAAGUGAGUGUGUCCCUUGCCCUCAGCAGGAGAUGUUUGCUUAAAACUAAACCAGUACCUUCCACACUGUAAUUUUUUAACUGCUAAAGUCCAGGGAGCAUUAACCAAUUUAUGCAUUCAGCCCAAAGAGCAGGAGAAUGAAGAGUGGGUCCUGAGAACUGGAGGUUCCUUCAAUGCAAAGAAAGUUUCUGGGAGUCUGAGCUCAAGCCUGCAUUGCCCUGCCAUUUGAGAGAUCUGCAAAUAAAAUUACUGAUGGCGAAGGACUGUGUCUCUUAAAGAAAGGAGAAAGGAACUCAUAUAUUUGAUGAGUAUCUAAAGGUACUUAUAUUUUUGCAUUUAUAUAUUCCAGAAAUCCCAUGAGAAAAGCAUUAUUAUGAUCAUUUUAUAGAUAAAUUAACUGAGCUUAUGAGAUGCUAAAUAACAGCUAGUAAACUAUGGAAUUAGUAUUUGAAUAUAGCUAACUCAUUCCCAACACCUUGCCCUUCCCAUGCCAUGAAACCUCAGCCCUGCAGCUGAGAAAAAGUGAAGAAAAUUCGGUUCUGCGGUGACUUGGAGUGAAGUGGUUUUCAUAAGAAAGUCUUCUCCUUCUGGGAGUUUAAGAACAAGG